GUAACAACCCCCACAUUUCAAUGACUUGACAUCAUAAAGGAGAAUUCCAUGCACAAUGUGAGUUGGAGGUUGACUCUCUCUCCUCUCGGCCAUCAGAGUCCUCUCUGUUCAGCCAGCAGCAUGUGUGGGAAGAGGGUCACAGUGGGCUGGGGAGGUUCUUAUGGGCCAGGUCUGGAAGGACACACAUCAGUUCCACUCACAUCGUUGGCCGAAACUCAAUCAUAUGACCACAUCUAACUGCCAGGGAAGGUGGUCUAACCGUGUCCUCAGAAAGAAGAGACGAACAUGGAUACCGAUGAGCAUUGCAAUCUCUGACAACGCUGAGUCUACACUGUGAAAACAAGAAACAGCAAUGGGUGAGACAAUCUCAGAUCAGUGUUAGGUCCAACCAGUGGACAAAAGGACUCCUUCGUCAAAUUCUGUUUCCUCUUCUGUAUGCAGCGACCAGACCACCAACAGUGAUGAAAAGGUCUCACCUGUCAUAUCCGGACCUGAGCAAUAAUCUCUAGCUUCUUGAGGUCAGCUCCAGCGUGCCUCUGAUCUUAUACUGGAGUGCAACAGUUCUACGCCAGAGACUCAGACUUCGAGAACACGAUGACAAUACAGACUUAAACUGUGUCUCAGCUCAUAAGAUUACUAAGAUCUUCAAAGAGCUCAUAAACGUGACUUCGUUAAAUUUUACAUGAAGUAAUGUCAGUAACUUAAUUCUCCCAAGCCCCACCCCACCAACCCCCACCCUGGGGAAAUGUCCCCUAGCAGGAAGGACACAUCUUUAGACAUCUUCCUUUCCACUCAGGGAUUUGUGUGGUAACCAGCCCUCUUUAGAACUGGGUGAUUUUAAUGAAAAAGCUCUAACGUCAAAGCUUCUGCCAUUUUUCUGCGGGACAAGAGUGGAGUCCUAGAGGAGAACGUCCUUUUGCUCUCGUGUCCUGCUGAGCACUUUCAUGAGAUAUUGGUAAUGCGAAGAUAAGCCUGGAAUUGUGUGGGGGGUAAAGGUGAAAAAUCUGCACUGAUCCACAAAGCGAUGGGAUGAGGAUGGUGUGGGUUGCAGCCCGGGAGACGCACGGGGAAGGUGAGCCUGGAGGACAGGCACCGAGGAGGCCCAGGCUGCAGUUGACCUAAUUUUUGUAAAUAAAUAAAACAGGUGCCCUUCACUUUAGUCAAACAUUACACGCAAAGGGAUUUGCAAAAUCAAUUCUCUUCUUGAUGUUUGGGGCACUCCUGUUUCAUGGUAAAAACUUGCAGUGUGAAUUAUCACCCCACAUAUAUAUGUUUUUAUUAUACUGUGUUUUAUUUUAGGUUUUCUUCAAGUGAGGAACCCCCAUACACAUUCUUUUUCAGGUUAUAAAUUUACGUAGGAUCCAGUAAAUGUUAACUUCCGUUGUCCUGGGAGAACAUAAAACCAGAUACUAUUUGUAGCAUUAAAAACAGUAGUUUGUACUGUACGUCAGAGUCUGUGCAUGAUAAAGACUUCCGCACGAAAGGUGGCGGAUUUCUAUCUCGAUACCGGUAGUCAGCUACAAAGUUCUGCAAUCUAGUUCCUUUUGUAAAGUUUCUCAUUUCUAUUAUUAGAAAAUUGUAUCGCAAAUAGGAACAGUGACUAAAUAUGUUUGAAGUCUCUUCUUCUAUUAGUUUGAAUAGUGACUCAGUGAAGCAUUCCUACAGACUUUUCACACUUGUUCAUAAACUUUAUUUAGUUUCCAAACUGAAUUUUGACUACACUGGAAAGUUGUUAUGUUAUUGUUAAUAAUUGAGCUACAGAACAAAAUUAUUUCACUCAGAUAACAGAGUUUUAAAAGCUUCUUCUAACCACUUGAUUCAACUGGUAUUGAUUGGCUCAAAGGUGCAUCCUAAAAUUAUUUUUAAAGAUUGCAUCAUUUGUCAAACUCUCUGUAUUACCUAGGGCACUAAGUGAUGAGAGUUAAUCCUCCUAGGUUUUAUCUUUGUAAAAUGAAAUCGAAUUUAUUUCCAUUUUUCUCAGUGAAAUUGAAGUGAGAUGUACAAAUCAAAGAAAAAGAUGGUACAUGUGUCCCAAACAGAAAUGUAAAACUAAUUUGAAACUUUAAAUAAAAUUUUUCAUAGAUAGUGUGGAAGAAAUAAAAUGAUAAAAAUACAGGGGGAAGUGAAAAGAAACGCUUCUAUCUAGGACUUUGUCUCAUUCGUACAUAACACAGUAUUAUUGUUGUUGUUGUCAUUGUUGUUAUUUUCUCCCAUUAAAAAAGAAGUGAUUCUAUUUGGGACUGUGCCUCAUUCUUAUAUCAUGCAGGAUUACUGGGUUGCUAUUGUUAUUUGCUCCCAAUAAUUUUUAGUUAAACCUACUGAAGAGGUGGUGGCAUUUCUGAUCACGCAGUAAUGAAAUGGUCACCAAAUGCUAACCAAGGAUCCCAAGUUCACCA
ensembl:lncRNA